rnacentral:rRNA from 1 species
GUGGGGAAUCUUAGACAAUGGGCGCAAGCCUGAUCUAGCCAUGCCGCGUGAGCGAUGAAGGCCUUAGGGUUGUAAAGCUCUUUCGUGGGGGAAGAUAAUGACUGUACCCCAAGAAGAAGCCCCGGCUAACUCCGUGCCAGCAGCCGCGGUAAUACGGAGGGGGCUAGCGUUGUUCGGAAUUACUGGGCGUAAAGCGCACGUAGGCGGAUUGGAAAGUUGGGGGUGAAAUCCCGGGGCUCAACCCCGGAACUGCCUUCAAAACUCCCAGUCUUGAGGUCGAGAGAGGUGAGUGGAAUUCCGAGUGUAGAGGUGAAAUUCGUAGAUAUUCGGAGGAACACCAGUGGCGAAGGCGGCUCACUGGCUCGAUACUGACGCUGAGGUGCGAAAGCGUGGGGAGCAAACAGGAUUAGAAACCCGAGUAGUC